UAAAUUAAUACAUAUAUCUGAUUGAUCACUAUUCAUUUCUUCAUCCAAGUCUUUGUGAGGAUCAGAAAUGAGUACAGAACCACCAAAAUAUGCCUAUCCCUAUCCUGCUCAAGGACCUCCUGUAAUGGCACCUCCACAGUAUUAUGCUGCUCCCCCUCCCAGGAGAGAACCUAGUUUUCUUGAGGGAUGUCUUGCAGCUUUGUGUUGCUGUUGGAUCAUUGAUGAAUGUUGCUGUGAUCCCUCCAUCAUUUUCAUCUGCUGAUUUAUCAAUAAUUUUGCUAUGAUUUAUGUGUAUGAUCUGCACACUGAUGUAUUAAUUGCUCUACAACUCAAUAUAUUUCAUUUAUAUUAAAUUAUUUAGAAGAA